rnacentral:rRNA from 1 species
GUGGGGAAUAUUGGACAAUGGGCGAAAGCCUGAUCCAGCCAUGCCGCGUGUGUGAAGAAGGUCUUCGGAUUGUAAAGCACUUUAAGUUGGGAGGAAGGGCAGUAAGUUAAUACCUUGUUGUUUUGACGUUACCGACAGAAUAAGCACCGGCUAACUUCGUGCCAGCAGCCGCGGUAAUACGAAGGGUGCAAGCGUUAAUCGGAAUUACUGGGCGUAAAGCGCGCGUAGGUGGUUUUGUAAGUUGGAGGUGAAAUCCCCGGGCUCAACCUGGGAACUGCCUCCAAAACUGCAUGACUAGAGUACGGUAGAGGGUAGUGGAAUUUCCUGUGUAGCGGUGAAAUGCGUAGAUAUAGGAAGGAACACCAGUGGCGAAGGCGACUACCUGGACUGAUACUGACACUGAGGUGCGAAAGCGUGGGGAGCAAACAGGAUUAGAUACCCGGGUAGUCC